rnacentral:sRNA from 1 species
UCGUCAAGUCCGCUUAUGCGGAUUGCAGC